AUUGAACGCUGGCGGCAUGCUUUACACAUGCAAGUCGAACGGCAGCGCGGGCUUCGGCCUGGCGGCGAGUGGCGAACGGGUGAGUAAUGCAUCGGAACGUGCUCAGUAGUGGGGGAUAGCCCGGCGAAAGCCGGAUUAAUACCGCAUACGACCUGAGGGUGAAAGCGGGGGACCGAAAGGCCUCGCGCUAUUGGAGCGGCCGAUGUCGGAUUAGCUAGUUGGUGGGGUAAAGGCUUACCAAGGCGACGAUCCGUAGCUGGUCUGAGAGGACGACCAGCCACACUGGGACUGAGACACGGCCCAGACUCCUACGGGAGGCAGCAGUGGGGAAUUUUGGACAAUGGGGGCAACCCUGAUCCAGCCAUGCCGCGUGCGGGAAGAAGGCCUUCGGGUUGUAAACCGCUUUUGUUCGGGAAGAAAUCCUCUGGGCUAAUACCCCGGGGGGAUGACGGUACCGGAAGAAUAAGCACCGGCUAACUACGUG
rnacentral:rRNA from 1 species